rnacentral:rRNA from 1 species
GACGAACGCUGGCGGCGUGCCUAACACAUGCAAGUCGAGCGAGUGGAGUUCUUCGGAACAAAGCUAGCGGCGGACGGGUGAGUAACACGUGGGCAACCUGCCUCAUAGAGGGGAAUAGCCUCCCGAAAGGGAGAUUAAUACCGCAUAAGACUGUAGCUUCGCAUGAAGUAGCAGUUAAAGGAGCAAUCCGCUAUGAGAUGGGCCCGCGGCGCAUUAGCUAGUUGGUGAGGUAACGGCUCACCAAGGCGACGAUGCGUAGCCGACCUGAGAGGGUGAUCGGCCACAUUGGGACUGAGACACGGCCCAGACUCCUACGGGAGGCAGCAGUGGGGAAUAUUGCACAAUGGGGGAAACCCUGAUGCAGCAACGCCGCGUGAGUGAUGACGGCCUUCGGGUUGUAAAGCUCUGUCUUCAGGGACGAUAAUGACGGUACCUGAGGAGGAAGCCACGGCUAACUACGUG